rnacentral:lncRNA from 1 species
CGGACGCAGAGACCGAGCGCCUAAUGUGGCCAGCGGACCUACUGCUCCCCGGACCCAGGAACUACCCGAAGCCCGCGCGGACCCACAGACCACCCCCAGCUCCGCCCCGCGAGGCCCCGCCUCUUCAUGCAACCUAAAAGUAACCAACUCCCCCCACGCGAAGGUUCCUAUCGGUCGACGGGCUGUGGGUGUAUUGCUCAGUGACGGCUUCGUUUAGUUUCUCCCAGCACCCAUAAUUCAAAGCAAGAACAACGACAUUAUGAGGAGAAAACGUCCUUUUGUGAAACAGAAGGCAAUCCACCCCAUUAGUAAACCCCAUCAAUUUUGCCUUCAGAAUAUAUCCAGAUUCUUCCCAAUUCUACCGCCACCAUUCUGGUUCAAGCUACC